UGAGAAACAACGGUUGUUAGAACUGAAAACAAGACAGUGGCAAGCCCCUGGCAAAAUACUGGAAUCCAUUAGAAAUUUCGAUAUGACCAUAAACCAAUUUUACUACUUGACGACAUUCAAGAAACGCGAUGACAACUUAGUAAUAUAGGCAUUUCCGCACACAGACUAGGCAACUUCCCAUACAGUGGAGUAAAGUCAGGAACUCGCGGAGGAGGAAAGUAAGGAACUCACGGCAGUGGGAGGCGCCGAAACGGAUGUCCUCGCCCACGAGAGGGCACAACCUUGUUGGGGAACAAUCAGAACUUGCAUGAUGGCACAAAAUCAAUAAAAUCAAUAAAGUCAACAAAUUAUACCCUCAUUCUUCUAUCGAGAGAAAGUCUUAAACUGAGAUCAUCCAACUUUCCACAAGCUUAUUCUUCAUCUCCUAUAGUACACCACUUCCAUUUGCACUCAAGAAGCAAUAAAGUACUUCUAGCAUAGCAAUACUUCUGAUGCAGCAUGAAAAUUGAUUUUUUCUUCAGAAACAAGACAUAUAUAAGUAACAUUGCCAUCUCUCUCAACCUUCUUUCUUCAGGAGCUCACUAACUGGGUGGUAAGCGGGCUACCAUGCAAGAUUCUAGGUGCAAAAACAAAUUAACAACAUUUAGUGAUUCAGUCAUAUUCCUAGUAGCAUAUGCAUUACUUUCUGUCAGAAACAAUGCACUAACCUUAUCAAUGUUGUUGUACCAUUCCAUCAUGGUUGCAAGCUCCUUAUAUUUAAAUUUUUUUCAACGUUCUCCUUUGAAAAUGUAUCCUUAAAAUCAUCUCUUUGCUCUCUUAGUAUCAAGGAGUGAUCUUGCAAAUACAAAAUGAUUAAAAUAUGAGCAUCAAAUAAAAAAUGGUGACAGCUAGACAAUAAAGUCAACACGAUGGUUGGUAUAGUAAGAAAGGCAGGGACUGGUGGCACCUUAGUCCAUGCACCAAAUAUAGAACAACACCGAGUCAUGGCAACACAAAAAUAAGAGCAGACUUAGAACCUAGAGUGAAAAUCAGUUUUCCAUAUGGUUCAAUUCCCAUAGAACUGUCACAGCUACACCCAUCAUCCUGAAUAAUAUAAGUUCUGUAUGCUCAUAUAUUUAUGGAUUCAGCAAUACGACAAUACCAUACACACAUGUUCAGAAAAUUAAAAUGAUGGCAAUGCAAUUGAUU
rnacentral:lncRNA from 1 species